UACACUCCUACGGGAGGCAGCAGUGGGGAAUAUUGGACAAUGGGCGCAAGCCUGAUCCAGCCAUGCCGCGUGAGUGAUGAAGGCCCUAGGGUUGUAAAGCUCUUUCACCGGUGAAGAUAAUGACGGUAACCGGAGAAGAAGCCCCGGCUAACUUCGUGCCAGCAGCCGCGGUAAUACGAAGGGGGCUAGCGUUGUUCGGAUUUACUGGGCGUAAAGCGCACGUAGGCGGACUAUUAAGUCAGGGGUGAAAUCCCGGGGCUCAACCCCGGAACUGCCUUUGAUACUGGUAGUCUUGAGUUCGAGAGAGGUGAGUGGAAUUCCGAGUGUAGAGGUGAAAUUCGUAGAUAUUCGGAGGAACACCAGUGGCGAAGGCGGCUCACUGGCUCGAUACUGACGCUGAGGUGCGAAAGCGUGGGGAGCAAACAGGAUUAGAUACCCGGGUAGUCCCA
rnacentral:rRNA from 1 species